rnacentral:lncRNA from 1 species
AUUUUCAUAAAAUUGUACAUGAUUUUAUUUCAUUUAUAAUUAAAACUUUUAAUUUAUUUAAAGUAAAAAUAAUUUUUUUUUCAUUUCAAAUAAUAAAUUUGUUAGAAGGGAAUUAAAUUAAAUUUUUAUAUAAUUUUUUUAUUUUAAAUAAGGAGUCAUUUUAUAAAAAAAUUUUAAUGAAUUUUAUAAAAUUAUAUAUUAUUUUAUUUCAUUUGUAAUUGAAAUUUUAUAACUUAAAAUAAAAAAUGAAUUUUUUUAUUUUAAAUAAUAAAAUUAUGAGAAGGGAAUUGAGUUGAAUUAAAUUUUUAUGUAUUUUUUUUUUUAUUUCAAAGAAGGGGUCAACUGUGCAACGGGACUACUACACAAAUCCAUAAUCAAUCCAACGGGAGUAUAGAUCAUCAGAUCUAUAAAGUGCAAAAAUCCCGUGCAUGUGAAUAAUGUGAUGAAUAUAAUAUUUCUAAAAAAAAGAAUAUAGAGUACGCUGCCAGAAUUCUAUUUAAAGAAUGUAAUUAUGAAUGAAUUUUUCAACUCUGUAUUUAUUCGAUUCUCAACUUUUUUGUUAAUAAAUUAGUUAAAAGGUUUCAAUUUAAAUUUAAUUUAAUCUAAAAAUUGAAAAUUAAGAAAUUGAGUUGUUUGAUUUUUGUCUUAAAUUAAAGAAAUAAAUAAUUUUAGUCUAAUUAUGAAAUGGAUUUGUUUGAUUUUUUAUCUAAAUCAAGAAAUUGAUAAAUUUAGUCCUAUUUUCUUACAAAAUUAAGUUUAAAUUAAAAAUUUUAAGCUAAUUUAAAGUUGAAUAUUUUCAACAAAAAUAAAGGGAAAAUUGAACAUCUAGCCUUUAAAAAUUGUGUUGUUUGCAAACGGGCCCCACAUAUAAAGUAGGCAAGUAGCCGCAGGAAAAAAGGAGGGAGAGCCGGGGGACAUAAAGAACUAGAGUAGCAAGGAUGAAUAGUUGUGUAUAGGGCGACCAAACUAAACCUAAAGCACGCAGACAGCCAACCAAGCAUCGGUUCCACCAACUUGAUUGACCAGAGACCCAAAUAUUCAAGUCUGAUGUCUUCCUCUUGAAGCUACCCACCCAUCUUCUCUUUUUCCUUUACCAUCAAUCAACAUCUCACCUAGUGCACUAUUUCUUACACACUUCUCUCUUUCUCUCUAAAUAGAGGCGCAAUUAUAGCCACAUUCGAUGAAAAUGAGCAAGACUAAAAAUACUCGUAUAAACAAAGCUCAUCUAAUUUGUUUACUAAUUAGACUAUGGAUGGAUGAUAGACUGGGGCAAAUGUGUUAGCUUGUCCUCCUCAACUUUUUAAUUUUGUUUAAUCAUUUCAUAUUCCAUACUCUUUCUUUGUUUGGUCUUUUAUUGUUGCUGAUUUGAUUUGAUUUUUAAACUAAGCAUUUCUAUCAGUUUUAACAAAUUAU